rnacentral:lncRNA from 1 species
UAAGAUCGGCCUUUGUGGUAUUUGAGCAGCCCAGCUUUUGAGAAAGAAAACGCCUCUUCGAUUUCUGAGAUCGGCCCUCGUGGUCUCUGAGCAGCCCAGCUUUUGAGAAAGCAAACGUCUCUUCGAUUUCUGGGCAGGCGCCUGUUCGAUUUCUGAAACUUCGUCGAGUGCAGAUUUUUAUAGAGGCUGGCAUUAAGUUCUAAAGCACACUUGAAUCUCCACCAAUAGAAGCUCCAUUCUUGCACUUCUAAGAUCUUGAUUUGUCCGACCUCUUCUC